rnacentral:tRNA from 1 species
GCUUGGGUGGCUCAGUCGAUUGAGCAUCUGGCUUUGGCUCAGGUCAUGAUCUUGCAGUUUGUGGGUUCGAGCCCCGCAUCGGGCU